GGGCCUAACACAUGCAAGUCGAGCGCACCUUCGGGUGAGCGGCGGACGGGUGAGCAAUGCUUGGGAAUCUGCCCAUCAGUGGGGGACAACCCGGGGAAACUCGGGCUAAUACCGCAUACGUUCUUUGGAAGAAAGCAGGGGACCGCAAGGCCUUGCGCUGAUGGAUGAGCCCAAGUCGGAUUAGCUAGUUGGUGAGGUAACGGCUCACCAAGGCGACGAUCCGUAGCUGGUCUGAGAGGACGACCAGCCACACCGGAACUGAGACACGGUCCGGACUCCUACGGGAGGCAGCAGUGGGGAAUAUUGGACAAUGGGGGCAACCCUGAUCCAGCGACGCCGCGUGGGUGAAGAAGGCCUGCGGGUUGUAAAGCCCUUUCGUUGGGGAAGAAAAGCUGUGACCUAAUACGUCACGGCCUUGACGUUACCCAAAGAAGAAGCACCGGCUAACUCUGUGCCAGCAGCCGCGGUAAUACAGAGGGUGCGAGCGUUAAUCGGAAUUACUGGGCGUAAAGCGCACGUAGAUGGCUUUGUAAGUCGGAUGUGAAAGCCCCGAGCUUAACCUGGGAACGGCAUUCGAAACUGCAUUGCUCGAAUGUGGAAGAGGGAAGCGGAAUUCCAGGUGUAGCGGUGAAAUGCGUACAUAUCUGGAGGAACAUCAGUGGCGAAGGCGGCUUCCUGGUCCAACAUUGACAUUCAGGUG
rnacentral:rRNA from 1 species